CAAUCUGUAUUGAUAAGGACAAGAAGCAUAUUUUUACGGUUCAUAGAGAGGGAAGUCUCGGCUGAAAGCUUCCUAACACGGAAAAAUGCUUUACCACCUUGGAACUUCAGCGGUGAACAUUUUUAGUAAUCGCUGACGGUCGCAGUCCGUUACACUGUCCGAGUGCCGACUGGUUUGUUUAAAGUUGUCGGAACAAGGGUGGAACCACGAGAUCAUCACUCGUCCCUUCU
rnacentral:ncRNA from 1 species